rnacentral:rRNA from 1 species
AUACGUAGGGGGCGAGCGUUGUCCGGAUUUAUUGGGCGUAAAGAGCUCGUAGGCGGCUCAGUAAGUCGGCUGUGAAAGUCCGAGGCUCAACCUCGGAACUGCAGUCGAUACUGCUGUGGCUAGAGUCAGGUAGAGGAGAAUGGAAUUCCCGGUGUAGCGGUGGAAUGCGCAGAUAUCGGGAGGAACACCAGUAGCGAAGGCGGUUCUCUGGGCCUGUACUGACGCUGAGGAGCGAAAGCGUGGGGAGCAAACAGGAUUAGAUACCCUGGUAGUCCACGCCGUAAACGUUGGGUACUAGGUGUGGCGAUCGGACUAACGAUUGCCGUGCCGAAGCUAACGCAUUAAGUACCCCGCCUGGGGAGUACGGCCGCAAGGCUAAA